rnacentral:rRNA from 1 species
AAUAGAUACCCAGGUAGUCCACGCCGUAAACGAUGAGUGCUAAGUGUUAGAGGGUUUCCGCCCUUUAGUGCUGCAGCUAACGCAUUAAGCACUCCGCCUGGGGAGUACGACCGCAAGGUUGAAACUCAAAGGAAUUGACGGGGGCCCGCAUAAGCGGUGGAGCAUGUGGUUUAAUUCGAAGCAACGCGAAGAACCUUACCAGGUCUUGACAUCCUCUGACCUCCCUAGAGAUAGGGCCUUCCCCUUCGGGGGACAGAGUGACAGGUGGUGCAUGGUUGUCGUCAGCUCGUGUCGUGAGAUGUUGGGUUAAGUCCCGCAACGAGCGCAACCCUUGACCUUAGUUGCCAGCAUUCAGUUGGGCACUCUAAGGUGACUGCCGGUGACAAACCGGAGGAAGGUGGGGAUGACGUCAAAUCAUCAUGCCCCUUAUGACCUGGGCUACACACGUGCUACAAUGGAUGGUACAAAGGGCUGCGAGACCGCGAGGUUAAGCCAAUCCCAUAAAACCAUUCUCAGUUCGGAUUGCAGG